UUUGGAAAAGUCGAUGGGGAUACUGUAACAAUGUGAGCAGUGCUUCAAGAUAGAAAAUAAUGACAACACGUUCAUAGAAACAGGUGACAACCCAGUCAUUGAAAACAUAAUCUAGCUGAAUGGGUCCCCAAGGGAGGAAAGAAAACAUACUUUGAGAUAAUUUCUCCUCUGAACGACUCUCACAGCUGCAGUGAAAACCUCGAUGGGUCAAAAAAGUGCAUGCAUGUCGAGUGGACAGAGGGAGGCUCAGGGGAGGAUACAUGUACAAGGCACAUGUUGAUUUUCAGGAAAUCCACAGGAGACCAUGAAGAGAUGGGUAGAUGACUUUUUUUUUACCCUGGCCUGGGUUCGUCCAUCCAGUUGCACCCGCCCACCCUACCCACUUUUCCUGCAGUGAGCUCUGGGAGCUGAGACCCCAUGGUGGCCAGAAAGAUGGGAUGCAUCCCAGAAUGCUAUUAAGCAGAGAGAUGGGCCUGCAGUUCUCUACUUGACAACAUGCAACAAUGAGGAGGGUGAGUGUCUAGCAAGGGGUUGCAGCCAGCCUGGACACCCCUUGGGCACUCAUGCUGGAGACAAGGCAGUCUGUCCUUCUUGCUCUGCUUACUCGCAGGUCUGUCAGCACAUUUAACAAUACUGGAGGAGAAGGCACUAUCAACACUUGUAGGAUGCCAACGGUUUAUAUUAGCUGUACCUUGAGAGCAGCUUUUGCAUCUAGCCCUAUAACUGCUGUCAACAAAGCCUACACAUAUAACCCGUCUAUAUCCAGAUACCAGAAGCCUCAUGCUGGGACCUGCAAUCAUAAGAGCCACAGUUCAAGGCUCUGAGACCGUAGACAGACGCACAAUGGAGCAGUGUAAGUACAGUGCACCGAGGGGCUUUUCUGGCCAUGUGUUCAAUGUCAGGUUUAUAGAAUGGCUUGGUUCUUCCCAGUAAGCAUGGUUGUGAACGUAUCUAUUGAGUUUCUCCAGUGAUUUGGCUAUUUUGUUAGACUGGUUUAACAUGCUUUAGUCUUUCAUUACACCUGUCAUGCAUUCCUUUAUUGCAAUGGUUUAUAACGGCAACAUGUUGCUGCUUUUGAGCAACCGAAAGAGCCUUCUAAACAGCACAGAAGUAAAAAAGUAUUAUUUUAACAAGUCCCUGCACCCAAAACUUUCGUAAUGUGUUUAUCUUGAGAAAACAAACCAUCAUUAUUAGGAAACGUACAUACUACUUUAAUAUUUACACAAAUGUCUCAAAGGAGAAAAAGCAGUUUAUCAUAGAAUGACUUGAGAUUUAGAUAUUUGAACGUUGUUUUUUUUAUCCACCAAAAACCACUAAUUCACGGUGUUAAAUAACACUAAUAUGUGAGAACAAUUUGUGAACAAACGUUUAAUUUUGGCGUUAUAUAGUUGGUAGCAACAAAGUCGACUACGAAAUCCACAAUGCAACGCUCUAUGGGCUAGCUAGCAAACGUAGCUACACACAAUAAUACCAAAGACAAUAUCAGCAUGUAACGUAGCUAGUUAACUGUAAAAUCGCCUAAAAACUACACUAUCAAUUUAAGAGUCUACGAUCUCACCAUGUUCAACCUGCAGAUCGAUGUGCCUCACAGAAUGGAGUAUAACAUUCGCAACGGCAGAUAUACUUUUGAGAUGGGAAACGCGGACCAAGCUACACAAAGGGGCCGCGCGGUGCAUUCUGGGCAAUUCUUUGACAAGACACGCUCUCCUUGAAGGAGUGAAUCGGAGUCUAUUGGGCACUAGCUAAACAAAAAUACAUUAGCACGAAUUUCUAUAAGAUAUUUGGCAACAGCACCAUGCAAUGCACCCUGGACUAGAGGCAAAUAGGAACAAUAUGCUAGACCAUUCGUUAAAUUACAAAUUUCUCGAGGUAGAAAUAUCGCUAAAAAUAUGAGCCAUCACUCAUUCGAAAGAAGACAUCCUCCCGAGUUAUGACGUCGGCAAGUAUUACAGUCUGACAUGAAUGAUAGACAUUUUCGCGAUCUAAAAGUUGGAUUCCUAUUAAUUUCCAGUGUAGUGAGAGGGACUUUAUCACAGUGCUACGUAAUACCGGCCACAUGUCUGCCUGCUUGAACGCCAAUAACUCGGAUACACAUGAAAAGACCCAGGGAAUCGAUAGAACGUCACUCAGAUGCACAAAAAAAUAUAUAACAUUCAAAAUGGGCGAACCUUUCCUUUAAAUCACACAUUUGGGGCCAGGAAAUGAACAUGAGCUGGUUUCCCAGACCCACAUUGAGCCUACUUGAAAAUAAAUACAAAGUAACGUUAGAUUUAACAGGAAUGUCCGCGUUACCAGACCCAGAUUAUUUUCCUUUGAGCCGCAAUCAUUCCGCACACAUUUUGGAAUGGUCAGAGAUGAUUAGCCUUUGAGCCUCAAUCAUACAUUUUGUUUAGUGCAUUAAUCUUAUUACAGGGCCUUCUGCCCACUCAACACAGCUGACUAGCAAUUUGUAGGCAAAAAGCUUUAUUACACAUGUUCCAGUUUUCAAUAUAAAUACAUUAAAAAACAUAGGGUUAAAACAUUUACAUUGACUUUCAAAAAAUAAUUACAUCAUAAAAAAAGUACAAUUAUAACUUCCAUUCAGUAAUGUCACAUACGUAAAGGGCACUGUAAAUUAAGUGGCUUUGUUCAACCAGGGAAUGGUCUGAGACAAUUACUGGGCACUUCUUUUCAAGGACAGAUGCAGACUAGCAGAUAGGAGCAGUCCUAGCCCUGAAAAUAAAAUUAGAUAUUUUAGAUAAAGCAUUGACUCAAUGGAGCAGUUAACAAUAGUUUCACUAUUUAGAUUACUCAUGUUCAAAGACAACCACAAACUGUAUAGUCAUACGAGUAAGACUUUGGUUAAAAGAUGGGACAUUUUCUUAAUGGGUUUAAGAGAAUCAUGUAUGAAUUGUAGAUACCUUGGGUAGGCAUUCAACUUAGUCAUUUUGAAAUUGUAAUAACUCCUCUUUUCUUCUAGAGUCUUCUCCUGUCUGGUAGGAGCUAUGCAACAUUUUAAAAUAAUGAAAUUGUGUCAGGAUUAUCAUGUUUACAUAUAAAUAAUGGUGCAGUAAGGAAAUACAGUAGAUUGGCAUACAUAAUCUCAGUAUUUUAGUGCUUAGUUUGGUAGCGGUGUUCCAGUGUGGUAGUCAGCUGGUCAGUUUAGCACGGUGUAUGGUAGGUCUAGCUUGCUAGCCACCUCCCUUUUGAACAACAUACUCCAUUCUCUUUUUCAAUUCCAAUAUCUCUGAAAGUAAUAUCUGUGAUUCAGUUGUAGGUGAAAUUGUGCACUAUUUUCUAGUAAGAUAAAUUAUCAAAUGUAGGUUCUCACCCUUUCCUCUUCUGAAAACAAUAUAAUACGAACAGCACAAUAAGUAUAACUGCAAAAGAUAAAGAAUCAAUCAUGAGUCCCCUGUAUGCUCUUCAAAUGGUCAAGAGAAAGUGUAAUACAAAUCUGAUAAACAUGGUAACAUUAGCAAGUCAGCAGUUUCACUAGGCCUACUAGUGUAACAGAUCAAAUAAUGUGAAGGAAACUCUUGAUGGGUCACAGAAGGGAAUGUUUUCCCCAGUACAGUAUACAGCAAAGAAUCCAGUUUAGUUAGAACACAUGCUUACUACAUCAGGCACGUGAGUGCGUCCGCAUGUUGAUUUUGUCCAUCCACACUAGACGCGAUCAGGACGCCAGGUUGAAAUAUCAAAACAAAAUCUGAACUAACUAUAUUAAUUUUGGGACAGGUCGAAACACAUGAAACAUUCAUGGACACUUAGCUAGCUAACUUGCUGUUGCUAGCUAAUUUGUCCUGGGAUAUAAACAUUGGGUUGUUAUUUUACCUGAAAUGUACAAGAUUCUUUUUUUUGCUGGAUCUUUGUAGAAUUGAGUCACAUUGUGUGUUCUCUACUCCAACAAUUAAUCCACAGAAAAAAGGGGAAACCUUGUUAGUUUCUAGUGUUAGAUUCUGGGUGAAACUUGGAACAUUGUAAUAUGCAGAAACAUUAUAUAAAGGACUGAAAGGGACUGGUUUUACAUCAGAAGUUAAUGGUUAUCUGUAGGAGACAGAUGGCUUUGGAAUGUGUUGGGUGGACGGGAGGAAGUAACGUGAUUGCUAUAGGGAAAGCGGAUGGACAUCUGUGGAUUACGCGAAGGAGGGGGUCAGGUCAGAUCCCCUGAAGUGAGAAAUUAUGGUUUAUUACCCUCUUCCUGUCGAACCAUAAGAUGUAAGGAUCGGCGAGAAGGAGGAGUGCCUAAUGUGGAGUAUAUAUACAAUUUGGUGGUAGAAACAUGUUUGUCUGAAUCCAGCUGUAUCGACCCUUUGGGAAGAAUUAAACUUGGUUAAGCUUC